GAUGCACACGUUGCAAUUGAAGCACUAUAAGUGCAAGUGAAUAUUCUUGUAUUAAAUCGACAACGAAUUAAUGCAACGAAGUGUACGCUAUUUGUUCGGUUUGACUCUUCAUUUCGUCAAACUCAAACCCUAAACUAUAAACAUCAUCGACGAUAUUCAAAGUAUAAAACGUUCGAUGCAACAAACUGCAAUUAUUUUAUCUCUCGUUGCCUGUUGAUUUCCCUUUCGUGUAUACUGUUCAAUAUUUUAACUGCCGACGUGUUUCAUAAAUUAUUGAAGGGGCGGGGGAAUAACUGAUUUAUCCACGCUUCCGUUGUACGUCGUACGUAUUCGGUAGAAAUCGGAUUAGUAUGGUCGCUUCCAGAGAGAGAGAGAGAGAUCGCGAGGAUAAAUCGAAUCAGGGCAAUUAAGGAGCGCAUUCAGCGCCCGGCAAUCUUAGUUUGUUCACACGUCCCGAAGAAGUAGGAACGCGAAUAAACUCUCCAUCCUUCUAUUGGCAAGAUCUAGACGACGAAGUGGGAGAGCGACCCGAAGCAAAAAGACUAAAAGGGUUUACGAACCAUGUCCUGAUUUCCUCCGCCGUAUACUGAAUACGGGGAAUCUGUUGGCCACUGGAAUGAAACAAUAAGAUGAUAAACAACGGCUCGGAAGAUCAUCUAACAAAACUGUAAUCUACAUCGUUAAAAAUAUUUCACGUACUAUCUAUAAUUGUUCGCGAUGUCAGCGAAUUGUUCACGACGUUUCCGAUACACCGGAUCUUUGAAGCCCUAAAACACCACGUUUGAUUUACGUUACGAAGGAAUUUAACGGUAACAAUCGAUUAUUAGAAGAACGGAGAACGUACAGGGUGAUCCGCGUCUAAUUCGGAUCCGUACAUAAGCACUUUCUGAGCUUGAUCUAGGUCCGCUAUUUUUCGUGGGAACCAAGGCAUGUCUACUUCGCUGAAAUCUGUAAUAGAAACAUUUUUCGAUACUUCGGCUCCUUAACACAUUUUCUGUCAAUAACAGAUGUAAGUAACAAGCUUGAUUUUGUUAUUGCACGCGAAGCAAAUCAAAUCAAAUUUUAUGCACAAGCGAACGUUGCAACUAGAUUGCGGAUCUUUAUGCAAAAUAAAAAGUUAUGCGAGACAAUUGUAAGAGAGAAAAAUUAGAUAAAAUUGAAUUGUUCGUUUUAAUUAUUUUGAUCAGUUGCAAAUGGUACAACGACGUUAAUUAAACUCUUCUUAUAUCUUCGGCUACUGAAUUUUGCCACGAACGCGUAAAAUCCGCGGUCUAGUUUUAACUACACCGCAAUCACUAUACCGUAUUAUGCAAAAUAAAAAUUUUCUAAAUAAGCAGUGGAA